UCAGACGCAGUUUUACCCAGAGAAGCC
rnacentral:piRNA from 1 species